rnacentral:tRNA from 1 species
GGGACCAGGGCUCAGUGGUAGAGCACUUGCCUAGCAUGAACUGAGGCCCUGGGAUCAAUCCCCAGUACCU